CGCCUCUAAACAGGAGUGAAAUUAAGCCAAAUGGCCUCCUUACUUUUCACUUCACAAAUUGAACAUUUCACUUCCAUUUUCCCAUUUCAAAGUCUUCCAGCCUAAGCUUGGGAUCGUGGACAGUAUCAAGACUCGAGCCAUAGUCGUUAAAACAGUCCAUCUGCGACGGACCUACAUGCAACUCCAUCUCGAUACCCCUUGAUCUCGGUGUUAGAUUGAACACUGGGCCAAGAUCUGGCCCCGGUGCUCCCACCGCCACCGAGGCUCCGGUAGCAGCGGCGUUGGGCCUACAUGCCACUCGACCUCGAUCUCAAUCCCCCUUGGUCUUGGCGGACCAAACAGGCCAAGAUCUGGCCCCGUGCUCCCACCGCCACCAAGGCUCCGGUAGCAUCGGCAUUGCGACCUACAUGCCACUCGAUCUCGAUCUCGAUCCCCCUUGGUCUCGGCGGACCAUGAAAGAAAUUGUACAUUGGAGUGAUGUAUUGAAGUCAUAUAUUGUCCUUGAGAUGAUUGCUCUCUUUUGGUUGGCUUCAAUUUCUAAAUAUUUUUCCCAUUGAGGAUGCCAGUUUGUGUGACACCAAAUGCUCAUUUGGAGGUUCAUUUUUGGCGUUGUUGUGGCCCUGUGGUUCUACCAAGGUAACUCGCUUAACUGAUGGAUUAGCAUAUUUUGUAUAGCAUCUAUUGAUUCUUGAUCGUGUAGUAUUGAAAAUGUUUAAGUGAUUGAAAGGAGAUAAAAGUUCAAAUUGAAUUGAAUCUUGCACUCGUAGAAUUCUCUGUCAUGAGCUGCACUAAGAGGCCUAUAAUAAAAUAGAGUUGGUGCUAUUAACUGGUCAGAUAACCAUCUCCACUUUGGAAUCCUAAAAUAAAUAUUAUCUGUCACAAUGUAUUUGUGAUGUUUAAUUUAAAUAAUUAUCUAAAUAAAUUUUUAUGUUGAGUAGCCUUAGGUAAUGGAUAUACUGGCAAUUUGUAUACUUGUUGCUGAAAAUGAUUAUUAUUAUUCUCUAUGGGCAAGAAGUGAAUUAGAAUUUAUUUUAGGUUGGUGGGUUUGAUCCAUAUAAUUUUGGAAUGUCCCUUUGGUCCUAGGAUACGCAUAAAAACACUGGUUAAGAAACAGAGAAUAUAGGUUGGGAAUUACUUAACUCCCUAUGUUGCACCCGAUAUUAUUGCAUUUAAUUUAAUUGUCACAGGUUUGCUACGAAUGGUGUGUAACAUCUGCAAUUUCAUCUUCUAUGCACAACUCCAAUGGUCGCUUACACUGGGUAGGGCUCUAGGGUUUUCGUAGCAAUGUUGUGGCAAAAAGAUUCAUUGCUAAUGCAAGCUGGAGCAGAUGAUCCAAUUUCUGUUGUACACUAGUUGAAUUAAGCGUAUAAUUUUGAAUGCAGUUCUGGACAACCACUGAAUGAAAUGAGUCUGCAACUCCCCACUUAACGGCUCCAUUGUUCAAACUAUAAAGUUUUACCGUCUUUUUCCCUGUUCUAGUUUUCGCUGUUCGUCCAAUUGGAUAUUGGUAGAUCAACGUGUUUUACUUCUGGUGGAUAGACUCUUUACUCAUUAUCAUAGUUUGUAAAGUGUGUUACUUAAACUGUAACAUCUUUUUCUAGUAUAUAAAGCAGUUUAGUUCAGG
rnacentral:lncRNA from 1 species